rnacentral:rRNA from 1 species
AACCCGUGCUGGCGUGGUUGGGAUCGAGGGGUAGGUGUCAGUGCGUGAGGAGGGAGGAGGGAGAGUGUCGGCGGUGUGGGGUAAGGAGAGAAGGAGGAGGGAGGAGGAAGGACCUAGGGACGGUGACGGUGUGGCCACCGACGUGAGGUGGAGAAGGAGCACCACGCCGCCUGCCGCCGAGAACGCCAGCACGCCGGCUGCCGCCGGAGUCGCCCGAGAGCUAGGGGCGAGGAGUAAGCCGAGGAGAAGAGGUACGGCGGCGGCGGAGGAGGAAAAGGGGCAGGGAGUGCCGGCGGAGCGGUGGAGGCGGAAGUCGUGGAGGAGGAGGGGAAGGAGAGGAGGAAGGGACGGAGACCUAGGUCGGUCAAUUGAGACCUCCCCUUGGUUGGAUGUCCAUUUCCCGCUGCCGCCGCCGGGAGCUCGUCUACUCUCCCUCUCUCUUCCUGUACCGCCGUCUACUCUCCCCCGCACGCCGCGCCGCCACUCGCAGAGGCCGUCGCCGCCGCUGGACACCCGUUUCCCACUGUCGACCCCACGAGCUAAGCUAGGUCGCGGUACUCGGACAUGAAAUGAACGAUCUCUCUCUCUCGUCUACUCCCUUUCUCUCUUCCUCUCCUCCCUCUUUCCAUCUCCUUUCUCCUCUCCCUCGGCGUUGCCGUCUACCCUCUACUUGUGCCAGACCCCGGCCGGUAAGCGUAGAGAGGAGGAGAGGACGAGAACUGGUGGUAGCACGGGGAGGAGGGGAAGCGAAGAUCCUCAUCGAUAAAAGGAGCGAGCAUGACGACAAACCGAGCUCACAAAGAGGAAGGGUUUAGACCAACAUACUAGACCGGGUAAUAACGCAGAGGUAAGAUAAGUAACGAAGCAGAGGCAAAACGAACAGUUCUUUUUUAAUCCGGAGCCGGUUUCCACCUCUUCUGUCUGGGGUCCUUCCUAAAACGCGACGGCAGAAGAAAGCGGCCUUAACAUACCCUUACUUCGUUUUUCGUACUUCUUUUAUCUCGUCCAGCACACAGUAGCACGUGCAUCAGACGGAAGGUAACCGCAAUAACGUGGACCAAUAGAUGUCUCCUUCCGUUCCUAUUGAUCUAAUUUGUAAAGUGUUCUGGGAGGGUUAAUGUCCGUGUUUGAGGAAGGUUCUAUAAUGUUCACACCAACUAAUGCCCUCUAACACUCUACUUUUCUUCCAUAUAGGAAAUAUAAAUAGAUCUACAAAUUAAUCGACGUGUUGGUAUGCACUAAGAUAUUCCUUUGAUAAAUAGGACCACUAGAACUAUAGGUCAGUACAUAAUGUCAUAAUCAUAUCCGACAUUAAAAACCGAUCCUUAGAUAUAUAUGUCUUGGAUUUGACUUCUGAGUUAUAUCGUGUAUAUGAACCGGUCAAUAGGAUUCUUAUAAUUAGGUGGACCUGAAAAUUGAACUGAAGGUUUCUUCAAGAAUUGCUAGUUCGUAAAAACUCAAAAAUCAUUUAACUUUAUUACAACGUGAAACUGUUAUGAUAAGACUAAAACGUUCAAUUAUCUUUAGGAAGUUAAAGUAUGGUGAAAAAAUUAGCGUGUAAACCUACUCAUAAUCAUAUCCGACAUUAAAAACCGAUCCUUAGAUAUAUAUGUCUUGGAUUUGACUUCUGAGUUAUAUCGUGUAUAUGAACCGGUCAAUAGGAUUCUUAUAAUUAGGUGGACCUGAAAAUUGAACUGAAGGUUUCUUCAAGAAUUGCUAGUUCGUAAAAACUCAAAAAUCAUUUAACUUUAUUACAACGUGAAACUGUUAUGAUAAGACUAAAACGUUCAAUUAUCUUUAGGAAGUUAAAGUAUGGUGAAAAAAUUAGCGUGUAAACCUACUAACGCUGUAAUAGAGAAGAGCCUUAAGGCGAACGUACAAAGGUCAACUCUGUUAUUGACUCAAACUAUUCAUUGGUGAUAUAAUAAAAGAUACACAUGUGUACAACAGCGAGACGAACUCAGUAGGUAUAGCUGUAAUGCUCGGGCUCUGAAGGUAGUGUUGUUUGAUAUACAUAGGUCCAUCACAGGUUAUACAUGUGUGUCCGAGGAGAGUGUCCGGCUGAUUCGACUAACAUUGACUUACACACACACACCGGCACUUCGUCUGAAAUAGAACCAGACUCAUAGUCAAGGGAAGAGGUGUAAUGCUCGGGCUCUGAAGGUAGUGUUGUUUGAUAUACAUAGGUCCAUCACAGGUUAUACAUGUGUGUCCGAGGAGAGUGUCCGGCUGAUUCGACUAACAUUGACUUACACACACACACCGGCACUUCGUCUGAAAAAGAACCAGACUCAUAGUCAAGGGAAGUUACCAUGUUAAAACCUAUGAUAAAAGAAGAUCUACAUAUCCAAAGACGACCAGGGUAACCGACGAUGUAAAAUCACUAUGCUAUCGAGUUACAGUACGAGUGGUUAACAAGACAUUUUUACUUUUUAGCUGAACUGACAUAAAACAUGGACAAAAUCAUUAAUGUACUACACUAAUAAAAGUAAGAUCUAUACCUUUAUAAGAUUCCUAAUUCGAAAAACUCUGCAAUUCCAUAGACUACUAAUUAAUCGGAAACAUUCUAAAUACGUGAGUACAGUAUGUUGGAUCUAUUAAGAGGAACCUAGAGGUAUUAAAGAUUGACUUAUAUCUACAUAUGACUGUCAUUUAGGGCAAAAUCAUUAAUCAACCUAUAUUAACUAUUAAGAAACUGUACAAAAAUACUUUACAGACGAAUUUAGUCACAAUCUACGAGGGUAUUAGCUAAUGAAAAACCUAUACUUAAUAAUGAUAUUCUUCAUAUAACCAAGAGGCCACAAAAGUCAAGAAUGUUAUUUGUUUAAUAUAACAAAAGGUGAUUAGUAAAGAGUACAUCAAAAUGAGACGUCAUACAUAGAAAACGAAGUAUUAAGUAGACAAGUGUUCUAACUACGGAUCUUUAAAGUCGGAAAGCACGAUUUACAGCAGACGAGUAAACAUUGCCGUAUCUCUAUCCUUGCUCGUUAAGUAGAAGUCAAACUCUUUCACCGCCUGUUUUCUCUUGACCUGAUAACAACGACUCGCGAUCGAGACCGGCGUACUGGUAGAUAUAUAUAUCAAAAGCUGUCAUUUACAUAGGACUAACCAUAUUGUGUUUACCUUUAGAAUGAAAGAAGAUUUGAGAAUUAAAGUUCUACUUGACCUCUCCCCCCAAACAUGAUUCAAACCUUAGAUAGUGUCAUUCACACAUAAACGCCAUAACUACAUGUCAAUAAUUCUUUCAAUGUAAAAAA